GUGCCAGCAGCCGCGGUAAUACGGAGAGUGCAAACGUUGUUCGGAUUCACUGGGCGUAAAGGGCACGUAGGCGGCUCGGCAAAUCGGUCGUGGAAUCUCGACGCUUACCGUCGAAACGGCGGCCGAAAAUACCGGGCUCGAGGGCGUGAGGGGUCACUGGAACUCCUGGUGAAGCGGUGAAAUGCGUAGAUAUCAGGAGGAACGCCGGAGGCGAAAGCGAGUGACUGGCGCGUUCCUGACGCUGAGGUGCGAAAGCUAGGGGAGCAAACAGGAUUAGAUACCCUGGUAGUCC
rnacentral:rRNA from 1 species